GUGAUCACUNUUACAGCACAUAUAUUAAAACUGGAACAAUACAGAGAUGAUUAGCAUGGCCCCUACACAAGAAUGACACACACAUUCAUGAUGAGUUCCAUCAUGGA
rnacentral:snRNA from 1 species